GAUGAACGCUGGCGGCAUGCCUAAUACAUGCAAGUCGAACGAGAGGAAGGAAAGCUUGCUUUUCUGAAUCUAGUGGCGAACGGGUGAGUAACACGUAGGUAACCUGCCCAUGUGCCCGGGAUAACUUCUGGAAACGGAUGCUAAAACCGGAUAGGUAGCAGACAAGCAUUUGACUGCUAUUAAAGUGGCUAAGGCCAUGAACAUGGAUGGACCUGCGGUGCAUUAGCUAGUUGGUGAGGUAACGGCCCACCAAGGCGACGAUGCAUAGCCGGCCUGAGAGGGCGGACGGCCACAUUGGGACUGAGACACGGCCCAAACUCCUACGGGAGGCAGCAGUAGGGAAUUUUCGCCAAUGAGGGGAACCCUGAACGAGCAAUGCCGCGUGAGUGAGGAAGGUCUUCGGAUCGUAAAGCUCUGUUGUAAGAGAAAAACGACAUUCAUAGGGAAUGAUGAGUGAGUGAUGGUAUCUUACCAGAAAGUCACGGCUAACUUCGUGCCAGCAGCCGCGGUAACAC
rnacentral:rRNA from 1 species